rnacentral:rRNA from 1 species
AUGAACGCUAGCUACAGGCUUAACACAUGCAAGUCGAGGGGCAGCAUGAACUUAGCUUGCUAAGUUUGAUGGCGACCGGCGCACGGGUGAGUAACACGUAUCCAACCUGCCGAUGACUCGGGGAUAGCCUUUCGAAAGAAAGAUUAAUACCCGAUGGCAUAGUUCUUCCGCAUGGUAGAACUAUUAAAGGAUUUCGGUCAUCGAUGGGGAUGCGUUCCAUUAGGUUGUUGGCGGGGUAACGGCCCACCAAGCCUUCGAUGGAUAGGGGUUCUGAGAGGAAGGUCCCCCACAUUGGAACUGAGACACGGUCCAAACUCCUACGGGAGGCAGCAGUGAGGAAUAUUGGUCAAUGGACGAGAGUCUGAACCAGCCAAGUAGCGUGAAGGAUGACUGCCCUAUGGGUUGUAAACUUCUUUUAUACGGGAAUAAAGUGAGGCACGUGUGCCUUUUUGUAUGUACCGUAUGAAUAAGGAUCGGCUAACUCCGUGCCAGCAGCCGCGGUAAUACGGAGGAUCCGAGCGUUAUCCGGAUUUAUUGGGUUUAAAGGGAGCGUAGGCGGACGCUUAAGUCAGUUGUGAAAGUUUGCGGCUCAACCGUAAAAUUGCAGUUGAUACUGGGUGUCUUGAGUACAGUAGAGGCAGGCGGAAUUCGUGGUGUAGCGGUGAAAUGCUUAGAUAUCACGAAGAACUCCGAUUGCGAAGGCAGCCUGCUGGACUGUAACUGACGCUGAUGCUCGAAAGUGUGGGUAUCAAACAGGAUUAGAUACCCUGGUAGUCCACACAGUAAACGAUGAAUACUCGCUGUUUGCGAUAUACAGUAAGCGGCCAAGCGAAAGCGUUAAGUAUUCCACCUGGGGAGUACGCCGGCAACGGUGAAACUCAAAGGAAUUGACGGGGGCCCGCACAAGCGGUGGAGUAUGUGGUUUAAUUCGAUGCAACGCGAAGAACCUUACCUGAUCUUGACAUCCCGAUGACCGCUUCGUAAUGGAAGUUUUUCUUCGGAACAUCGGUGACAGGUGGUGCAUGGUUGUCGUCAGCUCGUGUCGUGAGAUGUUGGGUUAAGUCCCGCAACGAGCGCAACCCUUAUCCUUUGUUGCCAGCGGUCCGGCCGGGAACUCAAAGGAGACUGCCAGUGAUAAACUGGAGGAAGGUGGGGAUGACGUCAAAUCAGCACGGCCCUUACGUCCGGGGCUACACACGUGUUACAAUGGGGGGUACAGAGGGCCGCUACCACGCGAGUGGAUGCCAAUCCCAAAAACCUCUCUCAGUUCGGACUGGAGUCUGCAACCCGACUCCACGAAGCUGGAUUCGCUAGUAAUCGCGCAUCAGCCACGGCGCGGUGAAUACGUUCCCGGGCCUUGUACACACCGCCCGUCACACCAUGAGAGUUGGAAAUACCCGAAGCCUGUGAGCUAACCUAAGAGGCAGCAGUCGAAGGUAGAGCCAAUGAUUGGGGUG